rnacentral:lncRNA from 1 species
AGCGUAGUUUUCCCUGUACAAGCUCUCGCCUGCCGCCAUGUAAACGUUCUUUGCUCCUGCUUCGUCUUCUGCCGUGAUUGUGAGGCCUCCCCAGCCAUGUGGAACUACUCAUCACUCACUGCAGAUGUUACUUUAAGACAUUCUGGAGCAGCGUCAUGUGCAGGAACAAUAAGGAAGUGAGUGCUUUUGUAAUUCCUGAACAACUGUGUCUUACACUUACUAAGUUCUCUUGCCUGCCACCAUGUAAGAUAUGCUUUUACUCUUCCGCCUUCCACCGUGACUGUGAGGCCUCCCCAGCCAUGUGAAACUGCCUUUGAGCUUAUACUGAAUUAUACCACCAGCUUUCCUAGGUCUUGAAGCUUACAGACAGCAGAUCUUGGGACUUCUCAGGCACCAUAAUCAAUCAUAGAUAAAUGAUCCAAUGAUUCGGAACUUGAAAAGUGGUAGCUUUAUGAAUUCUCCUUAAGAAGAAACCUGUGCCCUGAUCUUGCCUACUCACCCAAAGGCACUGUGAGAUAGCAUCAAAGGAACAGCUAGUAAGAGACACAGAGCCAGAAAUCAGGGAAGUAAAAUACACUUGACAUCUACGUUCGGAAAGAAAUUUUAGGAGGCAGAAGCAAAUGGAUCAGAAGCUGCUUAUAUUUUUGCAAGAUUACCAAAGAAACCAUUGGUGGAGAAAGUUCUGUGACCAACUUGUCUGAGUCUAGUAAGAUUGAACGCUCACACACAAGUUUCAUGAAGUGGGUUUGAUACUUACAGAUAAGCAGCAAGGACCAACAGAAGCUGAUGAUCUAUGGUGAACUUUUUCCCAAGGCUCCGGAAAGCUGCCUAAAGUAGAUGGAGUCUUCUCUGUGUGUGCCCCACUGGUCCUGCAGUUGAAGGAUCCGGUAAAGCAGCCUGCCCUUGGUUUUAUACUCCAGAGGAACGUGAUUCGCUGGACUAAAGCAUUGAAGUGCAUCCUGUUUCCGGGGGGCACUGGAACAGAGCCUGGUCUGUUCUAGCCAGUCCCUUUCUAUCUCAGGAUAACAUUCUACAGUUAUUCUUGAGAACUAUAAUCAAAUAAGCAGGGAGAACUGGGUAAGUCCAAGGCUUAUCUAUACAAGCCUUUAAAUAUUCAAGACCAAAAAAAAAAAAAAAAAAAAAAAAAAAA